CCCGUGCUACAACCGCACAGAUCAGGUUGAUAAGUUUUUGCAGCAAUGCAGAACGCCUGUGAUUGGCGAGUCUGAGUUAUAUA
rfam:Bacillus sp. MTM 13 9, whole genome shotgun sequence.